rnacentral:tRNA from 1 species
CAUUAAGAAGCUAAACCAGCAUUAACCUUUUAAGUUAAAGACUGAGAGCUAUACACUCUCCUUAA